rfam:Dipodomys ordii contig_37240, whole genome shotgun sequence.
GGGAAGGUAGCUCAGUGGUAGAGUGCUUGCCUUGCGCGCAUGAGGCCCUAGGUUCGAUUCCUCAGCACCA